rnacentral:rRNA from 1 species
CCCUUAGACGUUCUGGGCCGCACGCGCGCUACACUGACCAGUGCAACAAGCAUCCGUCCUUGGCCGACAGGCUCGGGCAAUCUUUGAACGCUGGUCGUGAUGGGGAUAGACUUUUGCAAUUUUUGGUCUUCAACGAGGAAUUCCUAGUAAACGCAAGUCAUCAACUUGCAUUGAUUACGUCCCUGCCCUUUGUACACACCGCCCGUCGCACCUACCGAUUGAAUGUUCCGGUGAAGCCUCCGGAUUGGCGCGCACCUCGGUGCCGCCGAGAAGUUGGCUAAACCUUACCAUUUAGAGGAAGGUGAAGUCGUAACA